GAUGAACGCUGGCGGCGUGCCUAACACAUGCAAGUCGAACGAAUUACUUUAAAGGAAGUUUUCGGAUGGAAUUUAAAGUAGUUAGUGGCGGACGGGUGAGUAACGCGUGGGAAACCUGCCCUAUACAGGGGGAUAGCCUCGGGAAACUGGGAUUAAUACCCCAUAAAACUCUAGUAUCGCAUGAUACAUGAGCCAAAGAUUUAUCGGUAUAGGAUGGUCCCGCGUCUGAUUAGCUAGUUGGUGAGGUAACGGCUCACCAAGGCGACGAUCAGUAGCCGGCCUGAGAGGGUGAACGGCCACACUGGAACUGAGACACGGUCCAGACUCCUACGGGAGGCAGCAGUGGGGAAUAUUGCACAAUGGGGAAACCCUGAUGCAGCGACGCCGCGUGAGCGAAGAAGGCCUCGGGUCGUAAAGCUCUGUCCUAAGGGAAGAAACGGACGGUACCUUACGGAGGAAGCCCGGCUAACUACGUGCCAGCAGCCGCGGUAAAACUCAACCGUAGUAA
rnacentral:rRNA from 1 species